rnacentral:rRNA from 1 species
GACGAACGCUGGCGGCGUGCUUAACACAUGCAAGUCGAACGGACAGGCCCUGCUUUUGUGGGGUGCUCGAGUGGCGAACGGGUGAGUAACACGUGAGUAACCUGCCCUUGACUUUGGGAUAACUUCUGGAAACUGGGGCGAAUACCGGAUAGGAGCUCCUGCUGCAUGGUGGGGGUUGGUAAGAUUCGGCGGUUGGGGAUGGACUCGCGGCUUAUCAGCUUGUUGGUGGGGUAGUGGCUUACCAGGGCUUUGACGGGUAGCCGGCCUGAGAGGGUGACCGGCCACAUUGGGACUGAGAUACGGCGCAGACUCCUACGGGACGCAGCAGGGGGGAAUAUUGCACAAUGGGGGGAAGCCUGAUGCAGCAACGCCGCGUGCGGGAUGACGGCCUUCGGGUUGUAAACCGCUUUCGCCUGUGACGAAGCGUGAGUGACGGUAAUGGGUAAAGAAGCACCGGCUAACUACGUG